UAAAAAUAUGAAACAUUUAUUGAACACCGAAGCAACGCCACGGUGAAGGCUUCUCUCUCCCUCUCUUUUUAUCUGUUAUUCACUCCAAUCUCCAUUCCCAAAAUUCUCGCCCAGAAACCAUUUCCGAGAUAUUCGGCUCCGUUUCUAACUCUCACCUGGCUUCGCUCAUCGAUUAAUUUUGCUCAACUCCCUUCUAGGACUGAUGGCUAAGAGCUACUUCAAGCAAGAGAAUGAUCUUGAAAAAAGAAAAGCUGAGGCUGCAAGGAUUAGGGAGAAAUACACCGAUAGAAUUCCAGUUAUUGUGGAGAAGGCAGAGAAUAGUGACAUCCCCAGCAUUGAUAAGAAGAAGUAAGAAUCACCAACAAUAUUAUACAUUUGUUACAUUUCUUUAUUUCGGUCAUCUGUUGUAUUUAUCUCUCUUUUAUAUUAUAUCAAAGGCGAAGUUAAUUUUGAAAAGAUACCUUCUGGUACAGUAUUCUGUGUCUAUUUCUCUUCAUCAAAGAAAGUGUUAUAUAGCUAUUGUUAGCUGAUGAA